UACGGGGGGAGCAAACGUUGUUCGGAAUCACUGGGCGUAAAGGGCGCGUAGGCGGCGCGAGUAGUCAACGGUGAAAGCCCGGGGCUCAACCCCGGGUCGGCCGUCGAUACUCUCGUGCUUGAGCACUGUAGAGGCAGGUGGAAUUCCGGGUGUAGCGGUGGAAUGCGUAGAGAUCCGGAAGAACACCGGUGGCGAAGGCGGCCUGCUGGGCAGUAGCUGACGCUGAGGCGCGACAGCGUGGGGAGCAAACAGG
rnacentral:rRNA from 1 species